rnacentral:hammerhead_ribozyme from 1 species
AUCCCGAAAAACGAGUCCCAAAUAGGACGAAACGUGCGUCCCGGAU